CAAAAAGCAGCAAUCAUGGAGACCUGGAGCUCAGCAGUAAGGGGGCUUGACAGCAAGAGGAGUGAUUGGUGGCCAGAUAAAAAAAUCUCAGAAUCCACCUCCACUGCAUGUCAUGAGGGAAACAUUUCUUUCAUGCUGAACUGAUUCAGAGUGUGGAAGAUCCACCUGAGGACUGUUGCCAAAAUGACGAAAGGAGAACAAAAGGGUCACUGGCAAAUGAAAGAUAGGAAGAAGCAAAAAGGUGAAGGACAAGGAAAGAUUGUAAUGUGAACCGGUGUGAAUCAUAGAUGAUUAUAUCUGGUAUAUCAGGGCCAUUCUCUCACUUUCUUCCUCUCCAUCAAGCCUGGAAGAGGCAGUGGUGUCAAAGAGUUAUUACAGAGAAAAUUUUUGCUCCACACACAUACACCUCAGUAAUCUCCAUUAGUUCUUCCUUCAAGCAAUUAACAUAAAAAUAUUA